AAGACUAUACUUCACAGGAUCAUUUCUGUAGUCAGUCUUCAUUUAUUGCCAUCCCAAAAUGGCCAUAACUCACUCGGCUUUGAUGAGUUUUUGCGUUUUACCUGGAGC
rnacentral:snoRNA from 1 species